rnacentral:lncRNA from 1 species
CAGUUAGAUAUGUCCCAGAAAGUAGAGAGUUUGAAACUUUGCCUAGUCCAAGGUUUAUAAACAUAGUCAUAGUCAAUGCCCUGCAAUGAGGAAAAAAAUUAUAAAAGUACAUCCCACCAAAGAUAACAUACAAACAUGCACACCUGAAUUAGCUUUUGGAAAAAAAAAAUAUGGACCAGAUAAAAAUUCACAGUCAAACAAUUUAUGCAUGCAAAAAACAUAGCCUCUCUAGAUUUUUAAGUCUCAAUCUCUUCUUGAAGCUAACAUUCUGCCUAGUUGUGAAUUACUCACUCUCUAGGCUCUUGAAAGGAAAUUAUGUCAGACAGUAGUGAUUUUCCAGUCAUUUCAGUUGCAUGAAUAUUUCUCUGCCACUAUUUAUUGAGAAAGCACCUGGUCCAAGGCCAUCUUCUGCGGACACCUCCCAAGAUGUACAAUCUUCUUCUCUGGCUAUUUUUCAUCAGAAUAUUCUUACGUUAGAAUCUGCAGGAGUCAGAAUCUCAAUGUACCAUCGUCUGAUGCAGUAGUCUUGUUUUCCUGUGACACUCAGCCCCCAUGUUCCAUUUGCUCCUGGGUCAUCCUCUUGCAUCAUGAGAUACUUUCUCUAGCUAACUUUUCUGCCUUAAUUUGGGGCCAAACUAAAAUCACUGACCAAUGGCUUGGAAGCAGAAAUUUCUGUGAGGCUGCAUCAAGUCUGUUUGCCUAGAUGGCUUAUAUAGUCAUUGUGAUGUGAGUGUUCCAGAACCAUGCUGGGCCCAUGGUUUCAUCAGUGGGCUUGCUGUUCCCUGGACCUCCAGUUGAGAAACAGGCCCAAGACCCUCUACGUUAAGGUUUCCCAAAGUUUACAGGGAGUUUUAAUCCUAACUCCAUGUCUAUGUAAGAGGACAAAGAGCCCCUUCUCAGGCAUGAAAAAUUCUGAAUCUCUCUAGAAAUUCUGUUAUUGGUCUCCCUCUCCCAUCCCUGGGAACUCAUACAUAUCCCUGGACUACAGGAUGUCAGAAAUGGAGGGUUCUACCUUCUUCCACUUUAGGCUAGGACUUCUUGUGAAUAUUCACAAAGUGCUUUCACUCAACACUAAUUUUUAUGGCCAAGAAAUACAUAUGUUGAAGUCUUAAACCCCAGUACCUCAGAAUGUAACUAUAUUUGGAGAUAGAGUCUUAAAAAAGGUAAUUAAGAUUAAAUGAAGUUGCAUGGGUAGGCCCUAAUCCAGUCUGACUGGUGUCAUUAUAAGAGAAGAUCUGGACCCACAGAGAUACCAUGGAUGCACAGGCAUAGAGAAAAGGCCAUGUGGGGACAUAGUGAGAAGGCAGCCAUCUACAAGCCAAGGAGAGAGGCCUCAGGAGAAACCAAACUUGCCAACACCUUGAUCUUGGACUUCCUGCCUCCAGAACCGUUUAUGGAAGCCCCAGUCCACACUAGACAGAGUGAUCGGGUCUGCUGGUACAGUUUCUGCUAGCAGGGGCCUUACCCUCCAGUUUAAAAGAUAGGAGAGGAGAAGAGACACUCUGAGGCAGCCGAACCUGCAGAAUGCCAUGUGAAGACAAAGGCAGACACUGGAGUAGUGUCUACCAGCCAAGGCAUGUCAACGGUUUCCAGCAACACCAGAAGCUGAGAGAAGAGACUUGUACUUAUUGCUUGGAAUUCUAAUGGAAUAGAAAAAAUAGAAUUUUCUGUACUUGGGGAAGAGAUGGACCGGUCAGCAGGCAUGGUCUGACCUGUGCUUAAAGGACUCAGGAUAAACACAG